UGGGGAAUUUUGCACAAUGGGGGAAACCCUGAUGCAGCGACGCCGCGUGAUUUAGAAGGCCUUCGGGUUGUAAAAAUCUUUUCUAUGGGAAGAAAAUGACAGUACCAUAGGAAUAAGGACCGGCUAAUUACGUGCCAGCAGCCGCGGUAAUACGUAAGGUCCGAGCGUUAUCCGGAAUCAUUGGGCGUAAAGGGUACGUAGGCGGGUAAGCAAGUUAGAAGUGAAAUCCUAUAGCUCAACUAUAGUAAGCUUUUAAAACUGCUCAUCUUGAGGUAUGGAAGGGAAAGUGGAAUUCCUAGUGUAGCGGUGAAAUGCGCAGAUAUUAGGAGGAAUACCGGUGGCGAAGGCGACUUUCUGGCCAUAACCUGACGCUGAGGUACGAAAGCGUGGGUAGCAAACAGG
rnacentral:rRNA from 1 species